GUCUAUGGCCAUGCCACCCUGAACAAGCUUGAUGUCUGAUCUGAGAAGCUAAGCAGGGUCGGUCCUGGUUAGUAUUUGGAUGAGAGACCACCUAGGAAGACCAGGUGCUGUAGGCA
rnacentral:rRNA from 1 species